rnacentral:rRNA from 1 species
AUUGAACGCUGGCGGCAUGCUUUACACAUGCAAGUCGAACGGUAACAGGCCGCAAGGUGCUGACGAGUGGCGAACGGGUGAGUAAUGCAUCGGAACGCGCCCAGUCGUGGGGGAUAACGCAGCGAAAGCUGCGCUAAUACCGCAUACGAUCUGUGGAUGAAAGCGGGGGACCGUAAGGCCUCGCGCGAUUGGAGCGGCCGAUGUCAGAUUAGGUAGUUGGUGGGGUAAAGGCUCACCAAGCCGACGAUCUGUAGCUGGUCUGUGAGGACGACCAGCCACACUGGGACGGAGACACGGCCCAGACUCCUACGGGAGGCAGAAGUGGGGAAUUUUGGACAAUGGGCGCAAGCCUGAUCCAGCAAUGCCGCGUGCAGGAAGAAGGCCUUCGGGUUGUAAACUGCUUUUGUACGGAACGAAAAGGCUCUGGUUAAUACCUGGAGCUCAUGACGGUACCGUAAGAAUAAGCACCGGCUAACUACGUGCCAGCAGCCGCAGUAAAAC